GACGAACGCUGGCGGCGUGCUUAACACAUGCAAGUCGAACGGAAAGGCCCUGCUUUUGUGGGGUGCUCGAGUGGCGAACGGGUGAGUAACACGUGAGUAACCUGCCCUUGACUUUGGGAUAACUUCAGGAAACUGGGGCUAAUACCGGAUAGGAGCUCCUGCUGCAUGGUGGGGGUUGGAAAGUUUCGGCGGUUGGGGAUGGACUCGCGGCUUAUCAGCUUGUUGGUGGGGUAGUGGCUUACCAAGGCUUUGACGGGUAGCCGGCCUGAGAGGGUGACCGGCCACAUUGGGACUGAGAUACGGCCCAGACGCCUACGGGAGGCAGCAGUGGGGAAUAUUGCACAACGGGCGGAAGCCUGAUGCAGCAACGCCGCGUGCGGGAUGACGGCCUUCGGGUUGUGAACCGCUUUCGCCUGUGACGAAGCGUGAGUGACGGUAAUGGGUAAAGAAGCACCGGCUAACUACGUG
rnacentral:rRNA from 1 species